rnacentral:ribozyme from 1 species
UCUCUUUCUCUUUCUCUUUCUCUUUCUCUUUCUCUGUCUCUCUUUUAUCCUUGGUGUAGUUGGUGGUGGGGUGAGGGACAAAAUGAGUGUGAAAGAGAAGUUUGAGAAGAUCCUUGCGUUAGCAUGUGGGAAACUGGAUGGUGUGUUAAAUUUUAUGGAGAAAUCAGCAGGAGAGACAAUCUAUCACAAGUUAAGGAAACCAUACUCAGUUUUUCAAGCACAACCAGAUC